UGCACAUCUUAACCAAUGGUUUCGCCGCAAAACAAAUGUCACAAUUGUACCCACGUUUGUUUUAGCUCAAUGCUAUAAUAUAAGACACUGCACAUCAAAUUCGAGGCGAUCUUCAAUAUGAUGCUGUGAUGUUGAUGUCAAUUGACGAUGCUGAUAAUCAAAGACGCUUACGUUUUGAUUGUGAUGAAAGCACUCACAUUUCUCAACUUAGGCAAUCACGGACCCUUAAAACCCCCGAAGACUCCUGCGACAUUGUGUGGCACGAGAGCACAGGUCCGAGCGAUACAUUUGCAAGCGAAUACUUCCUCAAACAGAUGGGGGUGGGCAGAAGCCGCACGGCCACGUCGCUGACUCCGUUACUGUCAAGGCGUGCUUCUAAUGAAGCGUGGUAAGGGGUCCCAGUGGAAACCUGGAGCCAAACACAGGCCAAGCCGAAAGAUCCCUGCUGCCUCCCCCCCCCACCACGCCGCUCGCUCAUUCACUUUCCCUUUUUCUCAAGUCUUUCAUCCAUCUCCAUCCACUUACUCGCGCUAUUGUUGUUGUUGUUGUGUUCCCCUCGUUCUAGAACUCCCUGAACUCUCCUUUUCUCACCUUUCCCUCCCCCCCACCCAACUGACCAUCUCUCUCCCUCUUACUCUAGAGGAAGAAGGUUUUUGCGGUGUUGGUGGGGGGUGGGGGGGGAGGAAACCACGCAGGAUGUCAUGUCUGCGCUUUUCUCAUCCGGCGACAACUCCCUCGUUAUUUUCAAUGUUGGAAAAAAAAAGAAAAUGCACUUGUGUGACUGAAGCGGGGAGGGCGAUGUGGGGGGGACGGUGUGUGUGUGGGGGGGGUGAAAUCAGCUAGGGACCACAGCCCUGCAAAAGGAGGGAAGUCAACCAUGCACUGCACUCAGACCUUUGGUCAUAUUGAUUGUUGUCUGCUUCCCAGACGUUGAAUCGGUUAUGCCAAUCUCCAAAAGGGCCUUGGGAAAAUCUUUGAAAUGCUCUCGUUAAAAUUGAAAAAAUUGAGUCCUUGUCAAGAAAGCAAGAUGCAAUUAACACAGGCGCUCAGCGUGGAUUUUGCAUCUUCAUGGGGGGGGGGGGGGGGUGGUGAAGCUUGUUAAAGAUGAAGUGCUGCAUUUGUAACGAAGAAUACAGAAAAAAAUACGUUGGAGGAGAAUGUUUUGUAAUUGCAUCCUUUACUGAUGAAGAGACAAAGCUGAUAUUUCUUGUGGGUAUCACUCACUUGUCCUCGUGUCACAGAUUAGUCUCUUAUCUAACACAUUGCUACGGAAAUAUAUUUGCUUUACUAUGAUGUUUGUUUAUUAAUGAUGUAAGUACAAAAAUCAUUUUCACCGCGUUAUUAUUUUUUUAAGCGUGAUUUUUAAACGAAGAGACAAACCGCGCCCGUGUCGUUUCACAACCUCCAUUUACAUUUGCAAAGCAACAAUGUUGCGUGUUGUUUAUAAUGUGUAACAGGCAUCGCAUGUGCGCCAUUUUAACUCCUUGUAUUAUACACAGUAGGACAUAUUAAUGUAGAUAAAACAUACAAUAUCCUUUACGUAUUUUUCAUCCAGAUAAAGCUAACUAUCUGCUACCAUCAGUUGUGUUCACGACCACCGCAGGCAGAGAGGGUUCUUGGUUAUUGUUUCCUGAAUGCGUUAGCAUUCACAGUCGUAUAUUAUUGAGGGGUCAAAAAACCCAUCCAUUUCCACUGAAUUUAAAUUAAUAGGCUGGUCCAUGAUUUCAUGACGGUUUGAUCGGUUUCGGUUUAGCAGUGGUGCAAUGAUUUUCACAGUGUUGUAUCAUGAACCCGGCACACCUGUGUUCGAUUCCCAGCCAUGUCUAAGAUCAGUGGUGAACGAUAUCUCAACUAGUUCUGGAUGCUUCCCACAAACCAUCAACAUUGCUAACCUCUACUGACUAGUGUGGUGAAGUAUGGUCAAAUAUUCCCAAUGGCCAAUACAGUGGGGGGAGGCUCUAUAUUGUUUAUCAUUUAAUCGCCAUUACCCCCCAACGUGUUAUGUAUUGUGCUCAUUUUAUAUAGCGGUGGAUGAGAGCAAUGGAAGAUAAAGAAACAUAUAACCUUUAUAAAGGCUUCCACUUGAGCUGGUCUAUCUGAUUAUUUAAGUAAUUGAUUUCUCUACCAAUUAUCAGUUCCAUUACUUAGCUAAUCGGACAACACCAACAGCAUUUGGGAAAAAAAGUAUCACCUCUGUUCCCACGUGUGCCACUGGAUGGGAGGUGAUGGGCAGGGCUUGAUGAUGUCAUCGACAUCAUCAUCCAGCCGUGUCAUGCUCGGCGAGACUUUUAGGGAGGUUUCCCACCUUCGAGAGACAUGAUGUAGAGGACGACCGCCAAUUUUAAAGGGGCCUGAGUAAUCGAACACCAAACAAUAUAGUCGAUUAGAAUGUUUAACAGAUUAAUCAUCCCAGCUCUAACUUCAACUGAACUUAAUAGGGAGUGCAUUUGGCACUGCUAGAUUGCGGGUGUAGUUGCACUCUCCUAUCUUUUAUCCAGAUAUUUCACAAAUGAUACAAUACCGUUCAAAUGAAUAUUCACGUAUAUAUAUACGAUUUGGAAUACGAGUUGCAGCAGCCGUACAAUGCUUAUAGCUCUGUGGACUAUAAACCCACGCGUCCCAAGUUCGAUUACAGGCCACAACCGACAUCAGCGACAAGUCAUAACAGAAUCCGGAGUGCCCUCCAACAGCUGCCUUAACCAACUCAAACUGUCUAAAGUGUCGAAGUAUGGUAUGAAAAAAAACCCCAAAGUAACUGACAUGGGGUCUUCAUAAAUUGGUGGAUUGAGAAUGGCUGGUUUUUGUUAUUUGUUUUAGUUUGUAAUUUCAAAUAACCACAUUUUACAACUUUCAAUCAUAUAAUGUUAAUAAGGAGAGUAACCAGAACAUUCUCACAAAGGUUCGGAGCGCUGUGGCUGCUGAUGAAUGAUUAAGCAGCCAAGCUUUCCUGCAGCUGGGCUCGUCCUCAAUUCAACAUAAUUAAAUUAGGCAGGUGUUGUUUCCAAGCGCAAAGAGCACCACAAUGGGCAUUUAUUGAAUUCUGAGCGAAAAGAAUCAGAGCACACAGGGGAUUUUAAAAAUAAAGACGAAGCAGUGUGAAACCGUUUCUCCAUGUGCAAUUUAAUAAUAAAAAUGCAAAAGCUAGGGAGCAAAACUAAAAGAAAAUCAAAUUUGUAACUUAAAUGAGUGUAUCCAUGUCCAAUCACCAUUAUUUAAAUUAGUCGAAUGGCAUAUAGAAUGCAAAUUUAAAUCUCAAAAUAUGCUGUUGCUAUGCUGUACAAAAUGUUGUUCAAAUUGGAAUGAUGGCCAUGCAGGCGGGAAAGUGAUUAGGUUUGUAUAACUUUGCCUUGUGGCAAGGCACUGGUUAUGGGUCAACGUUGUCGGGAAACAAAAUUGUCUGUUUAAUAAAUACAAUUAUUAAAACAAAUAAAUAUGAUGUCUAACUCCAAUGAGCAAUGAGCCAGUACUAGUCUCCUAUUUACAGUCCUGACACAGUGGUGGAAAUUCCAAAUUCCUAUGGUCGGUGAGAAUCCAUCUUCACGCCAAUCACUGUCGAUGUAUCCACGAAGUGGUACUCAUGUCACCGACCCCAGAGGGAUGAUGGGUUAAGUCAACUUCCCGACCAGGAUUUGAACUGAACUUGCAACCUUUCAGAUCGCAAGCAGCUCGGUCUAUCGCCGAGCGAAUAACAUAUACCAACUUUUUUUAUGUUGAACACAGCCUAACAUUCAUCAGUAGCUGUCAGCAACGCACACUCAAUUUACCACUGUCAAACGUACGAUGGAAAAUGGAGUGGGGAAAUGCGCUCCCCGCGGAUUCUACGGCCGACAGAUGAAUCAUUGGAUCCUUAAUCUCCAUCGGCAAAAACACCGAUCUCAGUGUUUAAAAUCUUUACCAUGCUGUCCUCAUUCUAAACAUUCGAUAUGUUUGAGUAGCUGAGCGGCUCUACUUACCCAGGGGAGCAAAAUUAAUUUAUCACUCUGCACCUGCCCAUUUUUUCAAUAUUAUCUUUGAAUUCAUUACCAUAUCAGCAGUCUCGGUCAAGUCUGCGAAUACCUACGUCAACGAGCGAUGACCGAGUUGUUUUUGUAUUAAACGCGUAACAUCUGCUGGUGUGUAAGUUCAUACGUAUACAAUAUUGGAAAAUUAUCGAUUUAUUGAAUUGAUGUACGUUUGAGAUAAGGACACCGACAACAUUCGCCACCCGCACUCCUGCUGUUCAACUUUCUUCCAAAAUCGAGUGAGGAAUAGAGACUUAUCGUUUGUGUUUUUUUACGACGUGAAUGAAAUAACACUGUUUUUCUGAACGAUGUCCUGGCAAUAUGGUUACCACUCUAUCACCGCCAUCAUCAUCAUCAUCAGCCACAAAUAAAUCGACUCCUGGGUGAAGGCCUUGCCAAGCCGUUUCCAUCCCUCACGAUCGUGCGAUGCAAGGACCUACCUGCACCCAAGUCGAUCUCAUCGCUCCGUCUGCCCAGUGGACGUCCUCUCAGACGCGGUUCUAUAUCUUGGCUGCCACUCCAUCACCAUUAUUAUUAUUGACCAGAAGCCAUUAUAUCCCUUCCAGUGACACGACCUGCCCAGGCCCACUUAUUUUAUGUGUUUUAUUUAUUUCAUAGUUUCAUUGAUGACAACUUAUUUGUGACUCACAUGCAACUUACUCAGUGUGGGUUUUUGUUUAAAUAAAUGCAUUCUUCUUCCUCUCGGUAUCAUUUCAAGCAUGUCUUCAUCCUUAUUUGACACAUUUUGAGUUUUCGCACCUUGUUUUUUUUGUUAAUGACCAUGUCUCUGAACAACAGCACUGUAUGUUUGACUUUAAUGCCGAGCAAAUGUUUUAACAAUUUAACUCCAGUUCAUAAUUGUCUUGAAUAUCUUUUUGCCAUGUUUCUGAAUGUGUUCACGCAGUAUCAGCCUCCGAAGUUUCAUUUGACGUUGGCAAGCUCGUUAAAUUCAACCUAACAGAGACGAUUUAUUUUAGAACA